rnacentral:sRNA from 1 species
CUUGGGCGUCCAGAGCAUGAACCUCCACCUCCCGUUUUCUAGAACCCGACCUUCCUCUUAUCUGGGUCCUGAGCCCUUCCUUGCAAGACUCCUCUGACUGAAGCUAUCUAUCUGAGUGUGAUAUUAAGAAUCUUCCCGCCCAUGUCCUUGGAAAAAAGCUGUUCUCUCUCUUGCCCUCCAUAUAAAGGUCCUAAUCCCACAAGGGAAAAAGAAUAAGGAAGUAUGGCUGGACACUGUGUGAGGGCUCCUUCCUUCCCUGUCAUGGAUUAAACCCUAAUCAUCCAAAGUCAGGAGAAUUGAGAUGAGAAAUAUGCAUCUCCAACUGAGGCACAAAGGUUCCCGGAGGUAUACAGAUGGCUGAUGAGAGGGACAGGAAGAAAAGAAUAGAAAUUGGCCAGUUAAAGAAUCUUCACUUCAUAAGUGGGUUUGCACAGUAAUCGCUCAGACUGGCUAUUGUCAUUUCAUCAAGAAGUGAAGACAGCACGUUAGGUCGCAUCCUACUUCUCAGCUCCCAUUCUAAAAUCCUGGUACCACCUAAUCACCACCAGGAAGGAAACGCACAGUGUGGACCUGUGACUGUUGUUUUCCUCCUUAAUGUAUCCUUUGAUGCCACUUUUCUCGGCUGUUUGCCAGACCAAAUGUUCGUGCUGCCAUCAUAGUGGCCUCUGGGAAGAUGGGAAGUAUCCUUUCCCCUUCUCUAUUAAUCUCUGACACCAUUUCUCAUCGGGGGAGGUGUCUCUCUGUGUCCCAGGCUG